UACGGGGGGAGCAAGCGUUGUUCGGAUUUACUGGGCGUAAAGCGUGCGCAGGCGGUUUUGUAAGCCAGAUGUGAAAUCCCCGGGCUUAACCUGGGAAUGGCAUUUGGGACUGCAAGGCUUGAGUGCGGCAGAGGAGACUGGAAUUCCUGGUGUAGCAGUGAAAUGCGUAGAUAUCAGGAGGAAUACCGAUGGCGAAGGCAGGUCUCUGGGCUGACACUGACGCUCAUGCACGAAAGCGUGGGGAGCAAACAGG
rnacentral:rRNA from 1 species